UACUAGUAGAAAGAAUAAAACAUAAAAAAUAGUUUGGAGACCCUUUCAAAGUGACAAAGAAAAUGGUUCGGAUUCCAAGACAAGUGGACACAUGUUAACAUACAUACCCAAACGAGAAAAAUGAAGGCUACAGUUCUUCUGUCAAUUAAAUUCAAUUUUGAGGAUUAGCAUAUGGCGAUGGUUUUGAAGGAGAAUGAUGCAGAGGAAUGGUGUUAUAGAGGAGAAGGAGCUGUGAAUCUUGUGCUUUCUUAUACUGGACAACAUCCCCAUUUUGUUGGAAAAGUGCUGCGGGUACAGAAGGUACCAAGGAAUGGAUCUCAAUGCGAGAAUGGUCGUCUAGGUCUAACCGAGAUGGAAUGCCUCAUAUGGAAAGAAUUUGAAGAGCUGGUAUCAGCUCCUACAAAAGAACUUGCUGAAUACUAUUUUGUGCAGCGUGUGAUGUGCUCCCUACUGGGUUCAAAGAAUGUUGAUGCAGGGAUUCACAUCCCUGUGACCCGAGAAUUUCUGGAAACAGUUGAUAACAAUGUUCUAUGUCACCGUCCUUCUUGGCGUGUUGAUGCCGCGAAGGUCAACCCUUUGUGUGAUUCUGUACUGCUGAUAUCUGAUCAUUCGCUUUUCCCACGUGGUACACUUAAAAAUGACUUCUGCAUAUCUGUAGAAAUAAAGCCUAAAUGCGGGUUCCUUCCACUUUCGGAAUUUAUUGCGCCAGAAAACACAAUUAAAAGGAGUGUCACUCGUUUCCAGAUGCAUCAGGCUUUAAAAUUGCACCAAGGAAAGAUAUCAGAGAUAAGUGCAUAUGAUCCAUUGGAUUUGUUUUCUGGAUCCAGAGAUAGAGUAGACAAAGCAAUAAUAGGCCUUUUUAAGACCCCGCAGAACAAUUUCCGAGUUUUCCUGAAUGGCUCUCUCAUAUUAGGGGGUUCAGGUGGUAAUGCAGACGCUACAAGCUGUGAAGUCGGUGAAACAUUUGAAAAUGCACUUAAGUGUGUAAUCCAAGCUGUAGAUGGCAAGCGGACACAAUGCUUUCUAGAUCUUAUUUCCGAGACCAUUUUUAGUUCAGGAAUGCUAAAUAAGGUUCUUGAAGUCCAGAAGUUAGACAAUUUUGACAUUGAAGGUGCAAUUCAUGCAUAUUACAACGUCAUAUCUCAGCCUUGCAUGGUAUGUAAGCAAUUAGCUGAAGAUCAGUCGUCAAAAAGAUACAAUUCUUUGCAUUCAAUCUCGAAAGAUGAAAGCUUGAAGAUUGUGAGGAACUACUUGAUCGCUGCAACUGCUAAGGACCUGAGCAUGAUGAUUAGUUUUAGACCUCGAGCAGAUGGGAGUGCGGAAUCUCCAUACAGCGUGGUCUCCUUACAAUCAACCAACCAAAGUUUUGAUUACAAGGCAUAUUUCAUUGACCUGGACUUGAAACCUUUGGAGAGGAUGGAGUACUACUAUAAGUUAGACCAAGAGAUAGUUGGCUGCUAUGCUCAGAUGGUAAAAUCCACGCAGCAGCAUAGCCACAUGGACUGAUGGAAACACUGACAUGGGGGAUAAUUUUCUGGAACGGGAUGAGAAAAAUCUGAAACCGAUCGUGCACAGAGACAACUGAAGCACUGUGCAAAACCCCAGAUGAACCUAAAUCAGUAAGUACGUCUAAAGUGGAACAAUUGCUAUAGUGUGACUCUAGGAUCAACAAUUAGAACAUAUGGGAGAACCUUUAAGCACCUCUAAGCCAUUAUGUGCCUCAACGGAGCUACAGUUAGUACAAAUAGAAGAGCUGUUGGCAUUGGAAACAAGGGAGGAUGUGUUGAACUUGACUGAUCCUCAACAUGAGGUGCACUUGAAGCAACCAAAAAACUGGCGUUGUCGGAGGCUGCCUAAGUACAAAGAGGACGGGGCCAAAACAGAUUAUAGUACAAUUUCAGCAUUGGCAACGAAGGAGGAGGUGUUAUGUUUGGAGGAUCAUCAGGAUGAGGUACACUUGAAGCAACCAAAAGAUGCGCGUUGUGGGAGGGCUCUCAAGGGCAAGGAGGAUGGGGCUGCUCCAGAUACUACACUUUUGAAGGACUUGGGAUCAUCUAAGAAGCUAACGAAGAAACAAAAUGAUCGGGGUCUAGGAAGGCGCAGGAACGCACAUUAAAGUACACCUGUUGCUCGCCUUCCUUCUGCAGAGUGGUGAUUAUUGUUGAGUAAAGGAGAAAAGAUAUGUAUCAGGUUUUUUUCUCCUUUACAAGGGAAGUGAUACAUCAACGUUAUCGACCUCAGUAACUUAUCCAUCCUAAGACUACAUGACCAUUUUCUUUAUGCUGCUGGAUUUUGGACCAAUUUUUGUGUGUGUUCUACUGAUUGGUGACACAACACCAAUGUUUCUCCCCGGUGAUUCUAUCUCUGAACCCAGGUCUAUGUUGAAUGUAAUCAUUCUUGUAAUAGAAUCCUGGUUCUGUCUGUGAAUGUAAUCAUUCUUGUAUUCUUUUACCUCGGAGGUCAACCUUUAAAGUUACCUCUUGCUUGUGUUGUACUGUAUCAUAAUGCACUUUGUCUUGCAAAUUUGACAUUUCUGUAUAUGAUGCUUGGCAACCAUAUCGGACUUGAUGUAAAGGCACCCUAUUUUCGCC